UACGUAGGUGGCAAGCGUUGUCCGGAUUUACUGGGCGUAAAGAGCGCGCAGGCGGUCCUUUAAGUCUGAUGUGAAAGCCCACGGCUCAACCGUGGAGGGUCAUUGGAAACUGGGGGACUUGAGUGCAGGAGAGAAGAGUGGAAUUCCACGUGUAGCGGUGAAAUGCGUAGAGAUGUGGAGGAACACCAGUGGCGAAGGCGGCUCUCUGGGACGGUACUGACGCUGAGACGCGAAAGCGUGGGGAGCGAACAGG
rnacentral:rRNA from 1 species